GCCGAAGUGGCGAAAUUGGCAGACGCGCACGGUUCAGGGCCGUGUUCCGAAAGGAAUAAGGGUUCGAGUCCCUUCUUCGGCA
rfam:Microgenomates (Woesebacteria) bacterium GW2011_GWA1_41_13b TT42_C0009, whole genome shotgun sequence.